rnacentral:rRNA from 1 species
UGCUAUGGCCAUGCCACCCUGAACGAGCCAAUCUCCUCUGAUCUCGGAAGUUAAGCAGGGUCAGGCCUGGUUACUACUUGGAUGGGAGACCACCUAGGAAGACUAGGUGCUGUAGGUG